AUUGAACGCUGGCGGCAGGCCUAACACAUGCAAGUCGAACGAGUGGCGGACGGGUGAGUAAUGUCUGGGAAACUGCCUGAUGGAGGGGGAUAACUACUGGAAACGGUAGCUAAUACCGCAUACCAUCGGAUGUGCCCAGAUGGGAGUAGCUAGUAGGUGGGGUAAAGGCUCCCCUAGGCGACGAUCCCUAGCUGGUCUGAGAGGAUGACCAGCCACACUGGAAAUGAGACACGGUCCAGACUACUACGGGAGGAAGCAGUGGAGAAUAUUGCACAAUGGGCGCAAGCCUGAUGCAGCCAUGCAGCGUGUAUGAAGAAGGCCGUCGGGUUGUAAAGUACUUUCAGCGGGGAAGCGUUACCAGCAGAAGAAGCACCGGCUAACUCCGGGCCAGCAGCCGCGGUAAUUC
rnacentral:rRNA from 1 species